rfam:Triticum aestivum genome assembly, contig: Triticum_aestivum_CS42_TGACv1_scaffold_223353_3B
UUCCUACUCCCUCCGUUCCAAAAUACUUGACUUCCAUCUGUCCAAAAAUAGAUGUACCUAUAUACUAAAACAUGUCUAGAUACAUCUAUAUUUUGACAAAUGAAAGACAUGUAUUGUAGAACGGAGGGAGUAGCUA